CCAAUAGCGUAUAUUAAAGUUGUUGCAGUUAAAAAGCUCGUAGUUGAAUUUCGGGAUCAGUACGCUGGUCAUGCCUUUGGUAUGCACUGGUGUCACUGGUUUCUCCCUUCUGAAGAUCCGUGAUGUCAUUAAUUUGGUGUCGCGGGGAAUCAGGACUGUUACUUUGAAAAAAUUAGAGUGGUUAAAGCAGGCUCACGCUUGAAUACAUUAGCAUGGAAUAAUGAAAUAGGACGUUUGACCCUAUUUUGUUGGUUUCUAGGAUCGACGUAAUGAUUAAUAGGGAUAGUUGGGGGCAUUAGUAUUCAAUUGUCAGAGGUGAAAUUCUUGGAUUUAUUGAAGACUAACUACUGCGAAAGCAUUUGCCAAGGAUGUUUUCAUUAAUCAAGAACGAAAGUUAGGGGAUCGAAGACGAUCAGAUACCGUCGUAGUCUUAACCAUAAACUAUGCCGACUAGGGAUCGGAUGAUGUUAAUUUUAUAAUGACUCAUUCGGCGCCUUACG
rnacentral:rRNA from 1 species